GACGAACGCUGGCGGCGUGCCUAAUACAUGCAAGUUGAGCGCUGAAGGUUGGUACUUGUACCAACUGGAUGAGCAGCGAACGGGUGAGUAACGCGUGGGGAAUCUGCCUUUGAGCGGGGGACAACAUUUGGAAACGAAUGCUAAUACCGCAUAAAAACUUUAAACACAAGUUUUAAGUUUGAAAGAUGCAAUUGCAUCACUCAAAGAUGAUCCCGCGUUGUAUUAGCUAGUUGGUGAGGUAAAGGCUCACCAAGGCGAUGAUACAUAGCCGACCUGAGAGGGUGAUCGGCCACAUUGGGGCUGAGACACGGCCCAAACUCCUACGGGAGGCAGCAGUAGGGAAUCUUCGGCAAUGGACGAAAGUCUGACCGAGCAACGCCGCGUGAGUGAAGAAGGUUUUCGGAUCGUAAAACUCUGUUGGUAGAGAAGAACGUUUGUGAGAGUGGAAAGCUCAUCAAGUGACGGUAACUACCCAGAAAGGGACGGCUAACUACGUG
rnacentral:rRNA from 1 species